GACGAACGCUGGCGGCGUGCUUAACACAUGCAAGUCGAACGGAAAGGCCCUGCUUUUGUGGGGUGCUCGAGUGGCGAACGGGUGAGUAACACGUGAGUAACCUGCCCGUGACUUUGGGAUAACUUCAGGAAACUGGGGCAAAUACCGGAUAGGAGCUCCUGCUGCAUGGUGGGGGUUGGAAAGUUUCGGCGGUUGGGGAUGGACACGCGGCUUAUCAGCUUGUUGGUGGGGUAGUGGCUUACCAAGGCCUUGACGGGUAGCCGGCCUGAGAGGGUGACCGGCGACAUUGGGCCUGAGAUACGGCCCAGACUCCUACGGGAGGCAGCAGUGGGGAAUAUUGCACAAUGGGCGGAAGCCUGAUGCAGCAACGCCGCGUGCGUGAAGACGGCCUUCGGGUUGUAAACCGCUUUCGCCUGUGACGAAGCGUGAGUGACGGUACUGGGUAAAGAAGCACCGGCUAACUACGUG
rnacentral:rRNA from 1 species